UACGUAGGGGGCAAGCGUUGUCCGGAAUCACUGGGCUUAAAGGGCGCGUAGGCGGGCUGUCAAGUCUGGGGUGAAAUCCCACGGCUCAACCGUGGAACUGCCUCGGAUACUGACGGCCUCGAGGGGGGUAGGGGCGUGCGGAACUGUGGGUGGAGCGGUGAAAUGCGUUGAUAUCCACAGGAACUCCGGUGGCGAAGGCGGCACGCUGGACCUCAUCUGACGCUGAGGCGCGAAAGCCAGGGGAGCAAACGGG
rnacentral:rRNA from 1 species